GGGUGUGUAGCUCAGAAAAGGUAGAGCAAGCGAGCGGUCGAAUGCCGAAGCCAAGUCGCCGGUUCGAUUCCGGCCACACCAAGCCCGA
rnacentral:tRNA from 1 species